rnacentral:lncRNA from 1 species
UUGUUAUCUCACGUAUGGAUUUGGGGCGUAUUUCAAGCAGGUAUAACCUACUCUGAUGCUUUCGCUCUAAGAGGAAAGUGUGCCACCCCUAUCCUCAAGCAGGUAAUAAUUAAUCAUUUAUGAGCUGAUGGACAACAAUUACUCUAUUCUUCCACCAUUGCAUCACUCAAUCAAAUGUCAUCAUGUAUCAAUGAUGUGAAUAUGUGGAAAAAAUCGUCUGUGCUCUGUUUUCUUAUUUGGAUGAAAACCAGGCAGUGUAGUUAUUUUUUAUAGUUUAUACACAUACUGCACGAUUAAUUAAAGGUUGUAACCUCACUGUCAUGCUAAUGGACGCAAAAAAAGAAGAGUGGUAGUACUAUCAAUGGUUCAGUCAGCGCCUCAACAACAUCUGCACUACUUCUGAUAUUGUUUUCAAGUAGCUUUUUUCUGCACCUUUCUCUUUCAGUUCUUAGUGCUGCUUCCCCAUGAACCCAUUUUUUUAAUUUGAUUGUACAUUCAAAUGAAGCCUUUGUUAAGUAUACACUCCAACAUUCAGUUAACAGUAGCCUAACUGAAGUUUCUGUUUCUGAAUUUAUAAACUCACUUUAUAUUCAGUUUAUAAAUUAACAGUAGCUUCAAAAUUAAGUAUCAUUCCCAUGGAUCAACUGUUAUUUUAUUUUGUGGAGGAUAAAGUUCAGAUCAUGAAUAAUGGAAUUACAAGUGAACUUGGCACAAUUACACAUGUCCUGAACUAGAUAUGAGCAACUCUUCAUUGGCAUGCAAGUACUACUUUUACAUUGUCAUGACAGGAACAAUUAAUUUGACAUGUAUCAUUGGUACUACUAAAACAUUUCGUUCAUGUUUCAACAAAUUUGGUGAAGACCACUUCAUAUGUAUUUUGCAUAUAUGAAUUAUCUCCUGUUGCUUUCUAAGAUGUUAGUUCUUUCAGUUCUAUCCCUUCUAUCUUUAAUUCCUCGCUGUCGGACUACCUGCAGGACAAUGUGUUCAUCUGCGGCAGCUCUCUCUGUAGCAGUCCGUCCGCGACGCGCUCCGCAGCGUCCUCGCCGGGCACAACGAGAUCCUCAACGUCUGGAAGUAAGUCACCGGCCAUCUGUUUCCUGAUGAAUUUUCUUUCUAGCUCAAUGUGAUCGGAUCUGACUAGUACGUUCAGAUUUGCUCUUGUUUUCUUUUCAAAUAGUACUAGUAGUCUAUAUUCCAGCUGUGCGACUACCUGUAGCCACUUGAACCGAUGAGAAUUCUUCAAGCCUACCUAUAGCCACUUGAACAGAUGUCUAUCUCAGAUCUGCUCAUCAAAAAAAUCCAAGUGGCGUAGUAUAAAUACUCGUCAGAUAAAUCUCAGAUCUGCUCAGAUUUGGCCUGAUUAUUUAGCCCUGCCAGAUAAAUACUCGUCGAAAGUGGGCUCCUAUCAAAAUUCAUUUCCAUUGAAAUCUUACUGUGGGGACCCCGACUCAUAAGUCGUGAUCACCGAAUGCACGUGUACAGUGAUCCCAGAGAUCAAUGCUCACUGAACACACAGAAGCUGAAUAACAAGAGUCUUACAUCCAUACAUACCGUAUUACACAAGUAGGACCAUUAUGGUCGAGUCUUGAGUAUAACAUCGCAGCGGAAAUCUUCAUCGGUAACUUGGACCCAUGCCAUCUGCCUUGACCCCACAGGCAUUCUGACUGGAAAACGUCCUAGCUCGCAUGUUCGUCGCCGAAGUAUUCUUCAUCAUAUCCUGUUCUUUCAUGCCUGGUCAAUAAAAUAACCAGUGGCAAGCCAAUGAGUACUUUGAAUGUACUCGCAAGCAACCCAUGUUUUGGUUCAAGAUACAACAAUGCAUGAUAUAGGUAAUUUUUUGCAGAAAGCUAGUUUUGAGUGCAAUGACAUGUUCAACAACUUGUAAGACAUGCAUCAAGAGAAUUCAAGUAACCAUGAGGAAAGGUUACAGAUAUCAACAUAAAUAGAGUGGGCACCAACCCAACUCAAUCAUGUCAAGUCCUUUGACUUGACCCAAGUAGAUCUUCCCACUUAUCCAAACACACACACUGGUUUGUAAACAUGUGUACGUAGCCCAAGAGUGGUUACCCAGCUGUCCUUGACCGUGGACACGACUAUUUGAAAAAUUUUACACUCUGCAGAGGUUGCACACUUUACCCACAAGAUCCGGGGAACUUCCAUGUCAUCCACGACCCGCAAUACCUCAAGUACCCGGGGUAAGCACCCGAUCACUGUCUUUCCCUGGCCGACACUAACAUGGAGUCCACUCGUUGCUCCAUAUCCUCACGAUGUACAUCAUAUGAGACUCACUCGAGAUCAUAACAUCCGAGAGGGGACACAACGGUGUAUCCGCUGCCCUGUGAAAACAGUCAUGGCCGCCCUACCUGGCACGACCCCACCCGAGAGAGCGCACCAACAACUCUCCCGUCACUAGUAAUGCGGGCUCCAAGCUAGUAUCGGUCUAGGUAAUCAAUAAUGCCCUUUCCCAUAUAAGGGUAGAGUGGUUGCGCAUGUAAGGUUGGAAUAACGGUCGCAACUUAAACCAAUCCGUUUUGGAAACAACACACACUUGCCUCGGUACACCACUUCGUCAUCAAGUGGCUACCCAACUCAUCGUCUCCCCCGGGCACAAGUGGCACCCGACGGGGUUUACGAAAAGUCUUUCGAAAAUACUUUGCCUCCUUCACCAUGCAUAUUCCCGUCCCUUUUUGCGUAGCACUACUUUAGCAUCCUAUCUACUCCCACCGGCAUAACCCUCAUAAGAAGGUAGGGUCAUGCACAAUGCAAGUAUCAAUGAGGAAGUACAGUGGCAAACCAUCAAAGUGGUUACUACCUCAUCAUGAAUCCGUUGCAACAACAAUAUGGUGCUAUAUGACAUGCAUAAAAGGGUUUCAUAGACAUGGUCAAAGGUUUGCUUGCCUGUUUCAUCAGAGUCUUUAGAUCUUCUGGUCCUUCUCCAGGUACUCCGUCUAAUUCGGCAACUAACAUCGGAAACAAUCACAAUAAGCAACAUAACAUGGCAAGAAUGAAUGUGCUCUAAAAAUAUGAAGUUGACUUUUAUUGGAUACCUCUGGUCAUAUGAGGAAUGACCAAAGUGAUUUCAUUGGAAGUGGAUCAAUGGAUAUUUCUAAACAUUUCGAUAUGAUGGAAUCAAGGGGUUUAUGUAUUUGCAAGAGGUGUACAGAAAUAUAUUUUUGAAAAAUGAGCAAAGGCACCCAUUUACAAAGGAUGAUUUUAGAAGCAUCUAGGAAUUGGUUUCACUGGAUUUGGAGUUGAGAUGAUUUUUCUAUGAAUUUGCAAAGUUGGCUAUAUAUAAAGAAAUAGACCAUUAUUUGAGGUGAUACAGAAAGUAUUAGUAAAAAUGUUCAAAGACUAAGUUUUGAACUUAUAGACAUCUAGGAUUUUGAAUCAUGGAAUUUGGAUCAAAAAUGGGCUCUCUGUGAUUUUCUAAAGUUUAUCACAAAAUAGGAAAAAUAGGAUGUGAUAAAUAUUUGUGAAGGAAAUGCUUUUGUAAAAAUGUGACAAUAGCACCAUGUGGUAGGGAAUGAUUUUAGAAACUACUAUAAACUUGAAUCAUCAAAUUUGGAGUUAAUUUGAAUUAUUUAUGGAUUUUAGAAACUCACUGGAAAAGAAUAAAAAGAAAUAUAAGGCAUUACCCUUAUCCUGCGCCCGGCGAGAGAUAGCCAUGGGCCGGCCCAGCGGCUCGACCAUGCGGACGACAGGCGAUGUCGAAUGCGUAUUUCGCCCGGCCCGUCUCCACUUGCCAGCGUGGCCCGGUGGCUGGGCCACUAACGAGCGGGGCCCGCCUGCAGGUCAUCGUCUUCGUCUUCCUCCCGCGCGCUCACCUGGCCGAGGGAGCAGAGAGCCCCAACGACGACUGCCGGCGCUACGGAGCACCUCCGGUGACGCUCUGUCUAUGGAUGAGCUCGGCAUCGAGCGCCGCAUCCAUUCAUGUAUGCCACGGCUGCCGGGGAUGGUCAAGGCGACGGCGGCUUGGAUGUCGGUGGACGGUGGCGUCGCGCGAGAUUGGGCACGGCGCUACGGUGCGUCCUCGGAUGAGGGAAAGAGCGUGGGAGCUCCGCCUUGCUCAGGGGAGCCUGCUGGUGGAGAGAGGAGAGGGAGAAGAGCUCGGGCUCGGCUGAAUUUAGGUGGAGGCCGGCGGCAGCUCUCCGGCCAUGGAGGGCUAUGGAGGGCGCGGGGAGAGGAGUGAGUUGGUCCAGGGGGUCUCUGGGAGGUAGAGAGAGGCAAAGGAGUAGAGAGGAGGCUCGGGGUGGCCCUAAAUAGAAGGGGGCGAGGUGCACAGCGGGGCCGUGCGCCGGCGAGGUCGUAGCCAUCGCUGGAGGCCACGGGAGUGCUUGGCUUCGAGUCGGGGUCUUCCUGGGCGUGGUCUACGACCAGGGGAAGGGAGAGAAGGAGCGGGGGAGCGUCAGGGUAGCGCGCGUGUGAGCAUGCCCAUUGGAGCUCUCGGGCGGCUAGAAUAGAAAAUUGGUGGUUCCAUCCCCUUGAUCAAUAAGCAUUGACUUGAGAUGAAUGCCAGAGGUAGAGGGAGGUUAGGAGGAGGUGUGGUAAAAAGGAUAACUCAUGGAGAUUAGUGGAAUUGGACAAAACAUACAUUUUUAAUUUCUGCCAGAAGGUGUUUGAUGGUGGUUUGGGAAAGAAGAUGAACUCCUAUUGUCAUGAGGCUUGACAGCGUCAUAUGGUAUGAUAAAAUAAUAGGUUCCACCAAUAUUGAGUCCAUUUGGGCAAAGUUGCCAAUGCAACUUUUGUAAACCCUAGAAAUCAACAGAAAUGGACUUUCCAAGAUUUAGUCAUGCAAAUCUGUUCUCCUUGAUUCACCACUUGGUUUAGUGUCAUCAUUUGAGGUUAUGAACAUGUCCACAAAGGUUGAGAUCAAAAGGAGAAAGUUUCCAAUGUAGAGUUGUUAAAAUUUGGUUUUGGACAGGAAGGGUUUUGGGGCACUUCGAUCAAUAUAACAUUUUCUCCAACUUGUGCCAUUUGGUCUAGAUGAAUGAUUAGACCAUUUGAGCAUGUUCACAAGGUUUGAGAACAUUUGGACAUCUUUGGCAAUGUAAAGUUGCUCAAACUUCAAAAUGGACAGAAAUGGUUUUGAGGGGAUUUCAUGGGGUUAUACUAUUCUCCAUGACAUUAUACUUGUCAAGAUCAUCAAACAUGUCAUAUGUGACAUGAUAGAAUUUUCUUGGAUUUUUAUGAAAAUAUUUCCUGUAGAAAUAUUUCAAAUCCUUGAAAUGAGUAGAAGUGGUUUUGGGAGGUUUUGUCCAAUAUUUUGAUCAUGACCAUGUGCUGAAACUCAUAUAUAUGGAAUAUAUAUGUCCAUUGAGUCUCCCUAAUUUUCUCAAAUAUUUUUAAAGCUUUAAAAAUUAAUUUUAACCUAUUAAAGACCAUUUCUGGCCUUAAGAAAAAGCCUUCAAAUAAAAUAGAAAAAUAAUUUUUAAAGUUAUAUUUUUGUGGUCUCUGGGUAUCCUAUAUCUAAUAGGAGUCAAAAAUAUUUUUAUAAAGAUUUUUACUGCCCUUAAUUAAGUACUUGCAGUGCAAACCUCAAUUCAGGGGUUUUUGGAAAACUAAUUUUUGAAAAUACUAUUUGGCCAAAUUAUUUUUGUAAGAAAUUAUUUUUAUGUCCUAUACACAUGGCAUGAUCAUUGGUUCAAGAGUUUGGAGCAAGGAGAUGAAGUAUAAGCGUUGGAGGAUUUAUUUGAUUUUUAGAGCACUUGCAAACAACAGACAAAAUCCAAUCAAGGCAAAGUCCAAAACACACAAAAGUUUUUGUCAAACCACAUUUUAUCAUGAUUCAUUAGCUUAAGUGUUGUGGCAUGAAAAUCAGGAUGUGACAGACCUACCCCCCUUACAAGAAUCUCGUCCCCGAGAUUCCCAGACUGGGCACGGAAAGGAAUACGGAAACUUGGAUUCGGGGUAGUCUUCACGUCCUCAUACUGCUUCUGCUUCUGUUUGGUGCUCCAUUGAAUUUGAAGUACUUGAUGGUGUGGCUUCGUGUAUGACGUUCUUCUUGAUCCAGGUUUCUAAUGGGUAGCUCAUGGUAGGUUAGAUUGGGCUGGGGGUCGAUGGCUCGAUGGUCAAUGUCCUUGUAGAGACCGGGCUAGUUGGGAAGUUGGAAACGUUUCCGGAGUGGCGUCGUGUGGAAAAACAUUGUGCACAGUAGGUAACUCAGGUGGUAACUCCAGCUGGUAGUCGUCUAUUCUUCGUCUUGCGGUGAUCUUGGAGAGGGCCGAUAAAUCUUGGUGUGAGCUUCCCUUUGACAGGGAAAUGCUUGGUUCCUUCGAGAGAAGUGGUUUGCAGAUAUGCCUGGUCUUUGAUGCGGAGGUAUACUGCUUCAAGAUGGUGGUUGGCGUAGUUCUUCCUCCUAGGCAUGACGAUCUUCAGAUGUUCCUUGAGCAGCUCAACGAUUCUUCUUCCGUCUUCGGGUAGACAAGUAUGUCAUCAAAGAAAGAUGACAACUAACUUGUCCAAGCACUCCAUGAAGUCUAUGGGGUACGUAAAGUGGGCUGAGGCAUUGGGGAUGGUCACGGUUGAGCAUUGGCCAAGGUCUUAUCGAUCUAGAGCCAAAGCCCAAGGUCAGGAUCUGACCAUGUUGUGGCUUGGUAGGCGUAAGGGUUUCAAGGAUUUUAGUGUGCGAGCGAACGUUUGUCACCUUUAUCCUUAAGCAUGGUUCCUGAGAUGCCAAUUGUUCUAUCUAGUCCUUUAAACAAAUAACCUUAUACCACCGAAAGCAUCAACUCUUGUAGGUCAGCUCCAAUCAUCACUCAUGCUAUUAUUAUCCUCAUGACUCCCAAGGGGAGGUCUAAUAAAUCUAUACAUGUCAACUAUCCCAAACUCAUAUGUAUGGCUAUCCCUAAAAAUCCAUGGGUAGAGCAUAUAAGCUGCUAAGCUUGAAUUUAAUCACCACAAUCCAAGUGCUCAGUCUAUUGACCCAAGGUCCAUGAUAAAGCAUCUCUAUCCUAAGGAAACACGUCGUAAGCCACUCCAAGAUCUUGUUUCUUCCUAUGAAUCAACUCCAAUAGCCCAUUAACUUUCAUUAAUGACUACACAAUCCAUUGAUUCUACAAAUCCAAUGUUUAUGGUGUUCCACAUGAUCUUCUAAAGUCCUUAUAAUCCCCAAAUACUUGAAAGAGCUAUAUCUACUAUAGUCAGUCCACCAAUUCCCAUUAUCAGGGUCGAGUAACUCCAAGGUCAAGCUUAUAUCAACUCCGACAAUUAAUCCAAUCCCCUAGUUUAUUGUCCUCCAAGAAACAUGGUAUCACGAUCGAAAUCACCAGUCUAAAUCCAAUUUACUCCGAACCAUGUAGACUUACUCACCACUUAUACUCAACUAGGAUCACCUAUUUAAAUCCAAAUCUCAUGUCCAACGAGAAUUCCUACAUGCUUCCCCAAAGUCAUUAUCAUAAUGUCAACUAUCUCCUAUCAAUAUCCCCUGGCUAAGUCAAAUCCUCAUACUUCCAAGAAUUCAGCUUGCAAUCUUAAUUGUCCCACUAAAUCCAAUUUAUCCAGGGGUAAUGAAAGCUAUGCUACUCUAUAUUAAUGAUCCCACCAAGUUCAUCUACCAACAUGAAAGCCUCAUAAUCCACCAAAGUCUCAGAUAAUUUCUCAAGGUCACUGAUAUAAACUCACCAAGUCAUUUGUCCUCAAUUCCUAUAUCAUCAAACUGGUCUUCCCUAUGGCAUCGUCAGUCCUGGUGCUAUAUUAGGAUGAUAAUGUGCUUGUUCACUAUGUCCACUAGUUCCAUAAUGAACCCAGUGUUGUGCGAGGUUUACAGAGACUUAACUAGUUCUCUUGCAAUUCUGUGGGUUAAGCACAUGGUUAAGGACUGGGGUAUCUCAUGAAGUCUCGAAGGGUCUAGGAAUGGGUUUCUAGUCUGGAGGGUUAAACAUAACUCUACGGGGUUUCACUUGGUCGAGGAGGCUGCAACAAAAAGUCUUCAGUGCUAGUUGGUCGCCGAAGCAGACUCCUUGGUGCAUCUUGUCUUGCUGGUCUUCAGUUGAGGAGAGAGAUGAGAGGGAUAAGUAGCAUAAAAGGGGGAUGCCUAAAGGGGGUUCUAUAGUGCAGGUGCAAACAAACAAGUGCCAAAAGGGCCAAACACAAACAACAAAAUAAGGCAGGUGAUUUAGUUGCGUACUUGUUGCCUAGGGCAAAAAGGGCGACUGAUAUCAAAACACAAACAAAUAAAAACAAGCAACACACAAUCAUGGUUCUAUUCGAACCAUCAUACGGACUCGACUACGCAUAGGGGGUACACGACUCAUCCUACCCUAGGGGUUCUCGGACUCAGUAGUCAUGCUUUGCUCUAUGUCUCGUGCAGUCUUCCAGAUUUUUUUUCCUCAGGUGUCGCUACGUCUUUUGUAGUUGUUCGAUGAAACAAUCUGGGUUGAGCCUAAAGAAUCUUCAACAACUUCUCUCCUGAUGAGGUGAUGGGGGAAGGUGGCUCCUCGUGGCUGGCACUGACUUGAUCUUCUCUUGUCUUCUUAAUCAUGACGAUCACUUUUGCCUUUUUAAGGUGUUGGCGGUUCCAGGUGGCACUCCUUUAUGCAAUGACAUUAACAAGGCGUAAUAGAGGCCCAAUCCGUCGGACACAUUGUUGACAAUAUCGUCACCAUGGGCGGGGGAUGAAGAGAACCGUUUUCCUGCUCACUAUAGUAAGGCGGACCAAAUGGCUAGGUUCUCCUCCACCGGUGGUUGCCGAUACAACAACGGUAGUGUUAGGGUUACCCUAUUAGCGAUGUAUAUCAUGAUCUUGCAUAUCCUAUGCCCUAAUCAUCGUAGGCUAAGGUUGCAUCAUCUUGGGGCAGUGUCAAGGGUGUCAGCAUCUCCUGGGUCUUCAUGUCAUCAUUCCUCGAGGAUAUAUCUUCUGUUGGUAUCGUCUUGUUGUGAUGUCGCCAAUCUUGUGUUCAGGAGAUGUGGGUGAAUGUCUGGCAAGGCAUCUUCCUUCUAGAUUAUCUACGAGGAUUACAAGGAAUCCAGUGGUCAGGGGCAUAAGGGUUCUAGCGACCAAAGGUUUUAAAGGGGAAGAGAUCAAUAAGGAAAGUAUACCUUAGUUUUCGAAAAACUGAGAAGGGAAGAGAAGUACAGAUAGUUUUGAAGACUAGUAGUAGUUUUGGAAAUAGUUUUACCCUAACUAACGACCAUGCUAACUAAGGCUUCCUACAGUCAGGAUGGCUCUGAUACCAGCUCUGUGGGGACCCCGACUCAUAAGUCGUGAUCACCGAAUGCACGUGUACAGUGAUCCCAGAGAUCAAUGCUCACUGAACACACAGAAGCUGAAUAACAAGAGUCUUACAUCCAUACAUAACGUAUUACACAAGUAGGACCAUUAUGGUUGAGUCUUGAGUAUAACAUCGCAGCGAAAAUCUUCGUCGGUAACUUGGACCCAUGCCAUCUGCCUUGACCCCACAGGCAUUCUGACUGGGAAACGUCCUAGCUCGCAUGUUCGUCGCCGAAGUAUUCUUCAUCAUAUCUUGUUCUUUCAUGCCUAGUCAAUAAAAUAACCAGUGGCAAGCCAAUGAGUACUUUGAAUGUACUCGCAAGCAACCCAUGUUUUGGUUCAAGAUACAACAAUGCAUGAUAUAGGUAAAUUUUUGCAGAAAGCUAGUUUUGAGUGCAAUAACAUGUUCAACAACUUGUAAGACAUGCAUCAGGAGAAUUCAAGUAACCAUGAGGAAAUGUUACAGAUAUCAACAUAAAUAGAGUGGGCACCAACCCAUGUCAAUCAUGUCAAGUCCUUUGACUUGACCCAAGUAGAUCUUCCCACUUAUCCAAACACACACACUGGGUUGUAAACAUGUGGACGUAGCCCAAGAGCGGUUACCCUGCUGUCCUUGACCGUGGACACGGCUAUUCGAAUAGUUUUACACUCUGCAGAGGUUGCACACUUUACCCACAAGAUUCGGGGAACUUCCGUGUCAUCCACGACCCGCGAUACCUCAAGUACCCGGGGUAAGCACCCGAUCACUAUCUUUCCCUGGACGACACUAACAUAGAGUCCACUCGUUGCUCCAUAUCCUCACGAUGUACAUCAUACGAGACUAACUCGAGAUCGUAACAUCCGAGAGGGGACACAAUGGUGUAUCCGGUGCCCUGUGAAAACAGUCAUGGAUGCCCUACCUGGCAUGACCCCGUCCCGAGAGAGCGCACCAACAACUCUCCCGUCACUAGUAAUGCAGGCUCCAAGCUAGUAUCGGUCUAGGUAAUCAAUAAUGCCCUUUCCCAUAUAAGGGUAGAGUGGUUGCGCAUGUAAGGUUGGAAUAACGGUCGCAACUUAAACCAAUCCGUUUUGGAAACAACACACACUUGCCUCGGUACACCACUUCGUCAUCAAGUGGCUACCCAACUCAUCGUCUCCCCCAGGCAUAAGUGGCACCCGGAGGGGUUUUCGAAAAGUCUUUCAAAAAUACUUUGCCUCCUUCACCAUGCAUAUUCCUGUCCCUUUUUGCGUAGCACUACUUUAGCAUCCUAUCUACUCCCACCGGCAUAACCCUCAUAAGAAGGUAGGGUCAUGCACAAUGCAAGUAUCAAUGAGGAAGUACGGUGGCAAACCAUCAAAGUGGUUACUACCUCAUCAUGAAUCCAUUGCAACAACAAUAUGGUGCUAUAUGACAUGCAUAAAAGGGUUUCAUAGACAUGGUCAAAGGGCUGCUUGCCUGUUUCAUCAGAGUCUUGAGAUCUUCUGGUCCUUCUCCAGGUACUCCAUCUACUUCGGCAACUAACGUCGGAAACAAUCACAAUAAGCAACACAACAAGGCAAGAAUGAAUGUGCUCUAAAAAUGUGAAGUUAACUUUUAUUGGAUACCUCUGGUCAUAUGAGGAAUGACCAAAGUGAUUUCAUUGGAAGUGGAUCAAUGCAUAUUUCUAAACAUUUCAAUAUGAUGGAAUCAAGGGGUUUAUGUAUUUGCAAGAGGUGUACAGAAAUAUAUUUUUGAAAAAUGAGCAAAGGCACCCAUUUACAAAGGAUGAUUUUAGAAGCAUCUAGGAAUUGGUUUCACUGGAUUUGGAGUUGAGAUGAUUUUCCUAUGAAUUUGCAAAGUUGGCUAUAUAUAAAGAAAUAGACCAUUAUUUGAGGUGAUACAGAAAGUAUUAGUAAAAAUGUUCAAAAACUAAGUUUUGAACUUAUAGACAUCUAGGAUUUUGAAUCAUGGAAUUUGGAUCAAAAAUGGGCUCUCUGUGAUUUUCUAAAGUUUAUCACAAAAAUAGGAAAAAUAGGAUGUGAUAAAUAUUUGUGAAGGAAAUGCUUUUGUAAAAAUGUGACAAUAGCACCAUGUGGUAGGGAAUGAUUUUAGAAACUACUAUAAACUUGAAUCAUCAAAUUUGGAGUUAAUUUGAAUUAUUUAUGGAUUUUAGAAACUCACUGGAAAAUAAUAAAAAGAAAUAUAAGGCAUUACCCUUAUCCUGCGCCCCGGCGAGAGAUAGCCGUGGGCCGGCCCAGCGGCUCGGCCACGCAGACGACAGGCGAUGUCGAAGGCGUAUUUCGCCCGGCCCGUCUCCACUUGCCAGCGUGGCCCGGUGGCUGGGCCACUGACGAGCGGGGCCCGCCUGCAGGUCAUCGUCUUCGUCUUCCUCCCGCGCGCUCACCUGGCCGAGGGAGCAGAGAGCCCCAACGACGACUGCCGGCGCUACGGAGCACCUCCGGUGACGCUCUGUCUAUGGAUGAGCUCGGCAUCGAGCGCCGCAUCCAUUCAUGUAUGCCACGGCUGCCGGGGAUGGUCAAGGCGACGGCGGCUUGGAUGUCGGUGGACGGUGGCGUCGCGCGAGAUUGGGCACGGCGCUACGGUGCGUCCUCGGAUGAGGGAAAGAGCGUGGGAGCUCCGCCUUGCUCAGGGGAGCCUGCUGGUGGAGAGAGGAGAGGGAGAAGAGCUCGGGCUCGGCUGAAUUUAGGUGGAGGCCGGCGGCGGCUCUCCGGCCAUGGAGGGCUAUGGAGGGCGCGGGGAGAGGAGUGAGUUGGUCCAGGGGGUCUCUGGGAGGUAGAGAGAGGCAAAGGAGUAGAGAGGAGGCUCGGGGUGGCCUUAAAUAGAAGGGGGCGAGGUGCACAGCGGGGCCGUGCGCCGGCGAGGUCGUAGCCAUCGGUGGAGGCCACGGGAGUGCUUGGCUUCGAGUCGGGGUCUUCCUGGGCGUGGUCUACGACCAGGGGAAGGGAGAGAAGGAGCGGGGGAGCGUCAGGGCAGCGCGCGUGUGAGCAUGCCCAUUGGAGCUCUCGGGCGGCUAUGGUGCGCGUGCGAGCAGGGGCAGGAGAGAGAGAGGAAGAAGAGGGCCGACAGCGUGCCGUGUCCCAGAUGCCGAGGCGGCCUUGUGAGACACGCUGGGGAGGCCCGAGGUGGCCGGAGGCGGUUGGCAGGGGAGCGCACUGUAGCGCGCUCCAGAGCGCCCAUAUGGCUGUCCAGGCCAUUUUAUAUGCUUGUGGGCGCGCCCUUGCAUGUCCAGUAGCAUUUGGGGGGUGCUAAGGAAGGGAUCUUGGCCUUGGAUGCUUUGGGUGGCCAGUGGGUGAAGAGAGAGGAAGGAGAAGAGUGGAAAUGGGGCUGUCCAGAAUAGAAAAUUGGUGGUUCCAUCCCCUUGAUCAAUAAGCAUUGACUUGAGAUGAAUGCCAGAGGUAGAGGGAGGUUAGGAGGAGGUGUGGUAAAAAGGAUAACUAAUGGAGAUUAGUGGAAUUGGACAAAACAUACAUUUUUAAUUUCUGCCAGAAGGUGUUUGAUGGUGGUUUGGGAAAGAAGAUGAACUCCUAUUGUCAUGAGGCUUGACAGCGUCAUAUGGUAUGAUAAAAUAAUAGGUUCCACCAAUAUUGAUUCCAUUUGGGCAAAGUUGCCAAUGCAACUUUUGUAAACCCUAGAAAUCAGCAGAAAUGGACUUUCCAAGAUUUAGUCAUGCAAAUUUGUUCUCCUUGAUUCACCACUUGGUUUAGUGUCAUCAUUUGAGGUUAUGAACAUGUCCACAAAGGUUGAUAUAAAAAGGAGAAAGUUUCCAAUGUAGAGUUGUUACAAUUUGGUUCUGGACAGGAAGGGUUUUGGGGCACUUUGAUCAAUAUAACGUUUUCUCUGACUUGUGCCAUUUGGUCUAGAUGAAUGAUUAGACCAUUUGAGCAUGUUCACAAGGUUUGAGAACAUUUGGACAUCUUUGGCAAUGUAAAGUUGCUCAAACUUCAAAAUGGACAGAAAUGGUUUUGAGGGGAUUUCAUGGGGUUAUACUAUUCUCCAUGACAUUAUACUUGUCAAGAUCAUCAAACAUGUCAUAUGUGACAUGAUAGAAUUUUCUUGGAUUUUUAUGAAAAUAUUUCCUGUAGAAAUAUUUCAAAUCCUUGAAAUGAGCAAAAGUGGUUUUGGGAGGUUUUGUCCAAUAUUUUGAUCAUGACCAUGUGCUGAAACUCAUAUAUAUGGAAAAUAUAUGUCCAUUGAGUCUCCCUAAUUUUUCUCAAAUAUUUUUAAAGCUAUAAAAAUUAAUUUUAACCUAUUAAAGACCAUUUCUGGCCUUAAGGAAAAGCCUCCAAAUAAAAUAGAAAAAUAAUUUUUAAAGUUAUAUUUUUGUGGUCUCUAGGUAUCCUAUAUCUAAUAGGAGUCAAAAAUAUUUUUAGAAAGAUUUUUACUGCCCUUAAUUAAGUACUUGCAGUGCAAACCUCAAUUCAGGGGUUUUUGGAAAACUAAUUUUUGAAAAUACUAUUUGGCCAAAUUAUUUUUGUAAGAAAUUAUUUUUAUGUCCUAUACACAUGGCAUGAUCAUUGGUUCAAGAGUUUGGAGCAAGGAGAUGAAGUAUAAGAGUUGGAGGAUUUAUUUGAUUUUUAGAGCACUUGCAAACAACAGACAAAAUCCAAUCAAGGCAAAGUCCAAAACACACAAAAGUUUUUGUCAAACCACAUUUUAUCAUGAUUCAUUAGCUUAAGUGUUCUGACAUGAAAAUCAGGAUGUGACACUUACUCAUACAAUAUUCACACCAUGUAAUUCUGGAAAUAUAUGCUCAUAUCUAGUUCUGCAUAAAAAAUGACAGUAUUGACAUGUUAUACAUAGUUUGUUUGUCUUUCUGUUUAUUUUGUUACAUUUUGCAGGGAUAAAGUGAAGAAAAAGAAUAAAAGAUUACUAGAAGAUUAGUUUUAGGAUUUUAUUUUAUUUCCUUGCAAUUUUCCUUUUAUUGGAUACUUGUAAAGACAUUGUAAUAUUCUUACUAUAAUAAAAAUUAUGAUUCUAUUUCAUUUUUUGUUUUAAAAUUAUUUUUCCUUAUAGGUUGUUUUCUGUAAAUUUGGAUUUUUUUUGUUUUCCAAAUGCAUUACUAGUGGCGCAUUUAAGCCCUUACUAGUGGCGCA